rnacentral:rRNA from 1 species
CCCUUAGAUGUUCUGGGCCGCACGCGCGCUACACUGUUCGACGCAGCGAGUCUUAACCUUGACCGAAAGGUUUGGGUAAUCUUCAGCAAAGUCGAACGUGAUGGGGAUCGAUCAUUGCAAUUAUUGAUCGUGAACGAGGAAUUCCUAGUAAGUGCAAGUCAUCAGCUUGCGCUGAUUACGUCCCUGCCCUUUGUACACACCGCCCGUCGCUACUACCGAUUGAAUGGUUUAGUGAGAUCUCUGGAUUGACGCUGGCUAGGGGGCGACCCUUGGCCAGACUGUUGCGAAACUGCUCAAACUUGAUCAUUUAGAGGAAGUAAAAGUCGUAACA